rnacentral:rRNA from 1 species
CAGCCGCCGCGGUAAAACGAAGGGGGCUAGCGUUGCUCGGAAUUACUGGGCGUAAAGGGAGCGUAGGCGGGUCGUUAAGUUGGGGGUGAAAGCCCGGGGCUCAACCUCGGAACUGCCUUCAAUACUGGCGAUCUUGAGUAUGAGAGAGGUGUGUGGAACUCCGAGUGUAGAGGUGAAAUUCGUAGAUAUUCGGAAGAACACCAGUGGCGAAGGCGACUCUCUGGUCUGUAACUGACGCUGAGGAGCGAAAGCGUGGGGAGCGAACAGGAUUAGAUACCCGCGUAGUCCCUGUCUCUUAUAC